rnacentral:snoRNA from 1 species
CCAAUGUUGAUAUCCUGGCAUAUUGAUUUCUGUUAAACCAUGCUAGGCUCUGUCUUUGUGGCAUAUGGGAGCUGAAUGUCUCACAAGGACUUGAUGCAUAUUCCCGUUCCACAACAUUGGAAAUUAACUCCGUUUUAAACCUGAACCCCAUAUAUUCCAUCACUUUCUCAUAGCUACUAUGUGGCAGUUACCGAGGAAGAAGACCAUAUGGGGAACAAGC